AUGUCAUUCAGCACGAUGGAGCUGAUCAGCACCUCCGUCUUGGCACCAUUGGUGGAAAAGGUUUCGUGGCACUGCUACUACUUGGGGCCGUAUAUUGUGUUUGGUCUUUGGGGCAUCAACAAGCUGCGGCUGCAGACGGCAGACAGACAACAACAGAUAUUAUCCUCGCUGCAAAUUCAUGCCUGGGCGGACACGUCGCUUUUGCACGCCGAGGCGGGCAACUUCGCGCAGGAGAUAGAGAAACAUAUGGUUGCCGCCUUCUCUGUUUUAGAGCUGCAUCUCACGGCAAAGGGGCAUGCUUUUGGAGGGUUUGUGUUUCAUCUCCUUGGGAUGGAUCGGAUUCGUACCGCUACGCGGAGGCUUAAGCUCGUCCUAGAGAGAUCAUCGAUGAAAGGAGGAUGCCUGCCACUUUGUCCUUGUGAGUUUCCGAACUGGAAUUCCCAAAUUAUCUGCUUGGCUGCUCUUGAAGAAGUGGAGUUCAAUGGCUUCGAAGGAAAGGAUCAUGAGUUUGAUUUACUGAAAUUGAUACUCGGAUGUGCACCGAUGCUAAAAAGAAUUAUUGUGAAGCUGUCACAAGAGACCUUGGCAAGUAAUGAUGGAUGCACAAAGAUAUACAACAUCUUCAAGGCAUGUUCUUCUGUGGAAUGUGAUGUUUAUGACAUCUCUGGGUUAAUGUUUGGUUGCUUCAACUGA
rnacentral:rRNA from 1 species